GGGUGUGGGGGCAUCAGGCUACAGCAUUUAUUGCCCCAGUGGUCAUCAAAGUUGACUUGACUGAUCUGGCUUGCUAGGUAGGUGUUUCUAUCCUUUCUCAUGUAUGUUCUCCCCAAAGCUGCCUUCUUGGUUAAGAAUGUACCUAUCACAGCUGGAUUCCUCUGCUAAAAACUCUAAAUAGGUUCCGAGAAGGACUGUGUGCAUGUAUGACUGAUCAUGUUUACCAGGAUGAUAAACUCCAUACUGAGAAGACAAAGAUUCAUGGAUAUGAUCCAUAAAAU
rnacentral:snRNA from 1 species